rnacentral:rRNA from 1 species
UACGUAGGGGGCAAGCGUUGUCCGGAUUUAUUGGGCGUAAAGAGCGUGUAGGCGGUUUGGUAGGUCCGUUGUGAAAACUCGAGGCUCAACCUCGAGACGCCGAUGGAAACCAUCAGACUAGAGUCCGGAAGAGGAGAGUGGAAUUCCCGGUGUAGCGGUGAAAUGCGCAGAUAUCAGGAAGAACACCCGUGGCGAAGGCGGCUCUCUGGGACGGUACUGACGCUGAGACGCGAAAGCGUGGGGAGCGAACAGG